rnacentral:rRNA from 1 species
GAUGAACGCUGGCGGCGUGCCUAACACAUGCAAGUCGAGCGGAGAUAAGAGGAGUACUUGUACGAAUUUUAUCUUAGCGGCGGACGGGUGAGUAACACGUGAGUAACCUGCCUUUUACUGGGGAAUAACAUCGAGAAAUCGGUGCUAAUACCGCAUAAUGUCACGAGGCUGCAUGGCCAUGUGACCAAAGGAGCAAUUCGGUAAAAGAUGGACUCGCGUCCGAUUAGGUAGUUGGUGAGGUAACGGCCAACCAAGCCUACGAUCGGUAGCCGAACUGAGAGAUUAAUCGGCCAAAUUGGGACUGAGACACGGCCCAGAAGCCUACUGGAAGCAGUAGUGGGGAAUAUUGGGCAAUGGGGUAAACCCUGACCCAGCUACGCCGCGUGAAGGAUGAAGUUCUUCGGAUUGUAAACUUCUUUGAUCAGGGACGAAGAAAUGACGGUACCUGAAGAACAAGCCACGGCUAACUACGUGCCAGCCGCCGCCGUAA